UCAGACGCACGCGUGAAUCGUAUGAGUUUCUGCCCCAUCAGUUAUAAUCGUAAGGUAUUGGCUUACGGUGACGAUUACGGGUGACGGAGAGUGGGGGCUCGACUCCGGAGAGGGAGCCUGAGAGACGGCUACCACAUCCAAGGAUGGCAGCAGGCGCGUAAAUUACCCAAUGUGAAAUCCACGAGGUAGUGACGAGAAAUAUCCAUGUGUGGCGCUUCGCGUCAUACGAUGGGAAUGAGAGCAAUGUAAAACCCUCAUCGAGGAUCAACUGGAGGGCAAGUCUGGUGCCAGCAGCCGCGGUAAUUCCAGCUCCAGAAGCAUAUGCUAAAGUUGUUGCAGUUAAAAAGCUCGUAGUUGAAUUUCUGGUUUGGGCGACCGGGGCGUUUGUGCGAAUGCGCAAUUGUUUUCCCUGCGUCGCCUUGGCCAUCUUGCAGUGCUUUUUAAGUACUGCUCAUUCACUGUAAUCAAAGCAGAGUGUUCCAAGCAGGUCGUAUGACCGGUAUGUUUAUUAUGGGAUGACGAGAUAAGACUUGGGUGUUAUUUCGUUGGUUUGCACGCCUGAGUAAUGGUUAAUAGGAACAGUUGGGGGUAUUCGUAUUUAGGAGCUAGAGGUGAAAUUCUUGGAUUUCCGAAAGACGAACUAGAGCGAAGGCAUUUACCAAGCAUGUUUUCAUUAAUCAAGAACGAAAGUCUGGGGAUCG
rnacentral:rRNA from 1 species